rnacentral:rRNA from 1 species
AGCUCAGCAUUGGGCGUAAAGUGUGCGUAGGUGGCCUGUUAAGUCAGGGGUGAAAGACGGUAGCUCAACUAUCGCAGUGCCUUUGAUACUGACGGGCUUGAAUCCACUUGAGGUAGGCGGAAUGUGACAAGUAGCGGUGAAAUGCAUAGAUAUGUCACAGAACACCAAUUGCGAAGGCAGCUUACUAAAGUGGUAUUGACACUGAGGCACGAAAGCGUGGGGAUCAAACAGGAUUAGAUACCCUGGUAGUCCACGCCCUAAACGAUGAAUACUCGAUGUUGGCGAUAUACGGUCAGCGUCUAAGCGAAAGCGUUAAGUAUUCCACCUGGGGAGUACGCCCGCAAGGGUGAAACUCAAAAAAUUAGACGG